rnacentral:rRNA from 1 species
AUUGAACGCUGGCGGUAUGCUUAACACAUGCAAGUCGAACGGCAGCAUGACAAAGCUUGCUCUGUUGAUGGCGAGUGGCGGACGGGUGAGUAACACUUAGGAAUCUAUCCAGUAGUUGGGGAUAACGUGGGGAAACUCACGCUAAUACCGAAUACGCACUACGGUGGAAAGAGGGGGAUCUUCGGACCUCUCACUAUUGGGUGAGCCUAAGCCGGAUUAGCUAGUUGGUGGGGUAAUGGCCUACCAAGGCGACAAUCCGUAGCUGGUCUGAGAGGACGAUCAGCCACACUGGGACUGAAACACGGCCCAAACUCCUACGGGAGGCAGCAGUGGGGAAUAUUGGACAAUGGGGGCAACCCUGAUCCAGCAAUACCGCGUGUGUGAAGAAGGCCUGCGGGUUGUAAAGCACUUUCAGUAGGGAAAAAAGGUUGGAGGUUAAUAGCUUCCGAAUUUGACGUUACCUACAGAAAAAGCACCGGCUAACUCCGUG